rnacentral:rRNA from 1 species
UCCUACGGGAGGCAGCAGUAGGGAAUCUUCCACAAUGGACGAAAGUCUGAUGGAGCAACGCCGCGUGAGUGAAGAAGGUUUUCGGAUCGUAAAACUCUGUUGUUGGAGAAGAACGUAUUUGAUAGUAACUGAUCAGGUAGUGACGGUAUCCAACCAGAAAGCCACGGCUAACUACGUGCCAGCAGCCGCGGUAAUA